CCCAGGCCCGGCUUCUCUAAAGAAGUCAGGAAAGCUGGACUUCUGCAGUGCCCUCUCCUCUCAGGGCAGCUCCCCGCGCAUGGCUUUCACCCACCACCCGCUGCCUGUGCUUGCUGGAGUCAGACCAGGGAGCCCCCGGGCCACAGCAUCAGCCCUGCACUUCCCCUCCACGUCCAUCAUCCAGCAGUCGAGCCCGUAUUUCACGCACCCGACCAUCCGCUACCACCACCACCACGGGCAGGACUCACUGAAGGAGUUUGUGCAGUUUGUGUGCUCGGAUGGCUCGGGCCAGGCCACCGGACAGGU
rnacentral:lncRNA from 1 species